rnacentral:miRNA from 1 species
UUGUGUGAUGUUGCAGCU